rnacentral:rRNA from 1 species
AAAGCUAUUUUCUUAUUUUAAUUUAAUUUUGUGAUUUUGAGAAGUAUCUUUUUAUUAAGUAUUUUAUAGAAAAAUUAAUUUUUGUUAUAUAUUAAUAGUACUGUGAAGGAAAUGUUGAAAUAAUUAAAAAUUUAAUUUUAGAUAAGAAUUCUUGAUUUGUAGUACCUUUUGUAUCAGGGUUGAUUAAAUAUAUAUAAUGUAUAUUUUUUUCUCGAUAUCAGAAGAGCUAAUUUAUUAUAUUAGUUAAUGUUGCAUAAUUAUUAAUAAUAUAUUUUAGAGGAGAAAUUUUAUUCGGUUCUGAUUGUAUCUAGUUUUUUAUGAAAUAAAUUUAAUUUAGCUUAGUUAUUUAAAUUUUAUAUUAAUUUAUUAUUUAUUUAAUUAAAGUAAAAUUGUAGGGGAUAAGCUCUAUAUUUAUUCUAUAAUUUUUUUUUAUUAAAUUUAUGUGGGAUUAAAUACUGUCCAUCUUUUAGUAAGUUUUUUAUAAUUUAUUUUUCUUUAUUUAUAAAUUUUGAUUUUUUUUAGUUUUGUAAUAAAAUAUCUUAAUUAAUUUGUUAUUUUGAGUAAUAAUGAUUAAAUUAGUAUAAUUUUAUGUAAUAUAUUUUAUUACUUUAAUGAUGAAAUAAGGAAUUCAGCAAAUAUAAUUCUCGCCUGUUUAWCAAAAACAUGUCCUUUAGAAUUUAAUUUAAGGUCUGACCUGCCCAGUGAUUAAUUUAACGGCCGCGGUAUAUUGACCGUGCAAAGGUAGCAUAAUCAUUAGUCUUUUAAUAGAGGGCUGGUAUGAAUGGUUUGACGAAGAAUUGACUGUCUCAUUUUAUUUGUUUUAAAAUUUAAUUUUUUAGUUAAAAAGCUAAAAUAUUAUUGGAAGACGAGAAGACCCUAUAGAUCUUUAUAAAUUUUAGGUUAAUUUUCUUGAUAUAAAUUUAUUUAAGCUAAUAUUUAUUUUGUUGGGGUGACAAAAAUAUAUAACAAACUUUUUUAUUUAUAUUACAUUGAUUUAUGAUUAGGAGAUCCAUUAUUAUUGAUUAGUAGAUUAAGUUACCUUAGGGAUAACAGCGUAAUCCUCUUCCAGAGUUCAUAUUUACAAGAGGGCUUGCGACCUCGAUGUUGGAUUAAGAUAAUAGUUAGGUGCAGUUAUUUAACUUAUAGGUCUGUUCGCCUUUAAACU